rnacentral:rRNA from 1 species
AUUGAACGCUGGCGGCAGGCCUAACACAUGCAAGUCGAGCGAGCGGCUGACGGGUGAGUAAUGUCUGGGAAACUGCCUGAUGGAGGGGGAUAACUACUGGACACGGUAGCUAAUACCGCAUACCAUCAGAUGUGCCCAGAUGGGAUUAGCUAGUAGGUGGUGUAAUGGCUCACCUGGGCGACGAUCACUAGCUGGUCUGCGAGGAUGACCAGCCACACUGGAGCUGUGACAAGGUCCAGAUGCGUAAGUGAGGCAGAAGUGGGGAUUAUUGCACAAUGGGCGCAAGCCUGAUGCAGCCAUGCCGCGUGUAUGAAGAAGGCCUUCGGGUUGUAAAGUACUUUCAGCGGGGAGGCGUUACCCGCAGAAGAAGCACCGGCUAACUCCGUGCCAGCCGCCGCGGUAAUUC